CUAAUGGAGGGAUUAUAUUAUAUAAUUCCUGGAAGGGAAAUUCCGAAAUGGUUUGAAAAGGUGAACAUAUGUGGUAGUUACGUUGUCACUCGUCCAUCUUGCUUCACACUCCAUUCUAAACCUUUAAAAAAAAAAAAAAAAAAAAAAGUGAAGAUACAAUUGCCUGGCUAUGGGCCUGGGUUUGGGUGUGAUGAGUGGAGGGGAAUUGUUUUGUGCGUUCUUUUUUUACCCAGCGAGCAUUGUCAGUACUCAAUCAAUGAGAUUGAAGUCGAUUCGAUUAAAGUGGAUGGAUGCCAAAUGAGUGAGAAAGCGCUCCUCGGAAAUCGGUUUUGGCGCGGAACUUGCUUUAAUGCCCGUGCCCAAGAAUAUGGUAAAGUUGAAUCGCAUCACAUUUGGCUGUACAGUAUGUCUUCCAAAACUCUUGGCUGCUCAGUUGAUGAGAAGAGAUUCCAUCAAGUUGAGCUUAGAAUAGCUAGCCAGGGCUUGGAGGUGGAGAAAAUUGGGUUUGGUGUGGUAUAAAAUAAGCAAAGAUCCUAAUCAAAAUAAGCGAAGCCAUGAUGAGGAUGAUGGGGAAGAACCGCGAUUCAAAGACUCGGGUAAUCGAUUUAUGGCUGAUUGUGAGGAAUCCAGUCAAAGAUAUUUUUUUUGUCUCUCUUCUUUUGCCUGCUUACCAAAGAGUUCGACAGACAAGCCAAGGAUUUGGAGAGUAGAAAUGAUCCAGACACUAACAAGAUGCUGAAUGAGAAAAAACAGUCAAUGAUCAAAUAGUUGAAUUCAUACGUUGUUCUUCAAAAGCAGAUUUAUUUUCAAUUUGUUGUGGAUACAAAUAUGCAUCAAAUCUUGAAAACAAGAGAAUUGACCCCUUUGAUGGGUCACCGAAGGAUAUGGGGAAGAUAAUGGCUUGCUAGCAUUGACCAUGACAAAUCAACAGUAAAUAGAUAGUGGAAACUGGAUGAGACUGAUCAAGCCAUUGAGAGGUCAAAAAAGACUGUUCAAGACAUCAUCAAUGUUGGAACAGAGACUGCAGCAGCACUCAAGGCUCAGGU